rnacentral:rRNA from 1 species
GACGAACGCUGGCGGCGUGCUUAACACAUGCAAGUCGAACGGAAAGGCCCUGCUUUUGUGGGGUGCUCGAGUGGCGAACGGGUGAGUAACACGUGAGUAACCUGCCCUUGACUUUGGGAUAACUUCAGGAAACUGGGGCUAAUACCGGAUAGGAGCUCCUGCUGCAUGGUGGGGGUUGGAAAGUUUCGGCGGUUGGGGAUGGACUCGCGGCUUAUCAGCUUGUUGGUGGGGUAGUGGCUUACCAAGGCUUUGACGGGUAGCCGGCCUGAGAGGGUGACCGGCCACAUUGGGACUGAGAUACGGCCCAGACUGCUACGGGAGGCAGCAGUGGGGAAUAUUGCACAAUGGGCGGAAGCCUGAUGCAGCAACGCCGCGUGCGGGAUGACGGCCUGCGGGUUGUAAACCGCUUUCGCCUGUGACGAAGCGUGAGUGACGGUAAUGGGUAAAGAAGCACCGGCUAACUACGUG